UCUAGGUUUUUCCAUAUCUAGUGAGUGGUAACACUGGUCCCAGCCUCGCCGGGCGCCGACCGCCGCGCUGCAGGCAGCCAGACCCUUCCCGUGUGCCUGAUAGUGCGGACAGCGCGUUACCCAGGAGGUAUCAGUGAUCUUCAGGUGCAGGACGAGUCACCAUGUCGCAGUUACACCGUCGACGCCCCUUCGCCCGCCGCCCGCCUGGCCCCUCCUGACGCACCGCCGUCAUCGCAGGACCCCCCUCCCCGCGGCACUCACCCUUUCGGCACACUCACCCCCCUCGGCAGUCACCCCCUCGGCACACUCACCCCCUCGACGCCAGGCCGCCUCGCAGUGCUGAUAAAGCGUAGUGAUUUGUGUUUAUAUACGGUUAUGACUGAUACUGUUAUUGGAGUGUUUUGCCUUCUCAAAAGACGCAUAGGAUGGACACCGACGAGGACACGUGUCUGGCCGCUAUGAAGGUUCACCGCGACUCCGUAGUGGUGCCGCCGGCGCUCAGCUACACCAAGCAGGACCUGUGCUUCGGAAAAUACUUCAAGGCCGUCAACCGGUUAGGGACGCUUGUGCUCAUGAACUGUUUCAAACUCAUUUACCGAACCCUGGAGACAGACGAUGGCACGUUGUCGAUUGAGAACUAUUGUUUAGAUAAAAUUAAUUGGUCCCACACUGCCUACAACAAGUGUUUCAACACAACCGAGAGAAAAACGCUAAGCAAAUCUCCGACUAGUGAUGAUUUUGUGUGUGAUGUUUCGCUCUUGUUUAAGAUAAUAAUGAUAGUGUUGGGAACGCAGGUGGAACCCAUUAGAAAAGAAAUAAGGGAACUAAAGAACCUGAGGAACGCAGUCUGCCACGAGAACCUGGAGAUGGACGACCAGGAGCUUCAGCGGCGACUGCUGAGUUUGAAGGAUGUGUGUCGUGAUAUCCUGGAGGGCACCCAGCUCUUGGUUCACGGACAGUUACGAGCCUCUUUGAACAAAACUAUCACCGAUGUCGAGGCUUACAUGCAGAACCUCUUGAUGGUUAAGCUAGACGCCAGUGACAUAAACUCGUACCUGGAAGACUUGGACGAAUUCCGCCAGAAGAAGACUUCCAAGAUGAUCAGCGAGGGGAGGAAGGAACUUAUGUCCAACUACUCAAAGGACAAGAUCCUUAACCCUUGCCCGUGGCUCACCGACAGUCACUUCUCGGACUUCACCGUGGAAAACACCUUCACCACGAUCAAGCUGCAGGAGAGCGGGACUGUCGUGACCAUGAACGAUAUCCUGAACCUGUCUCAGCUGAAACAGCGGUUCGUGCCUCGGCUGGUGAUCGUUAGCGGCGUGAUGGGCGCGGGCAAGACCUCCCUCUACCGCUACCUUCUCCAACAGUGGUGCAGCCACGCGCCCGCCGUGACGGGCCUCGCUGCUGUAGACAUUGUGAUUGGCCUGGAGAUGAGAUGGCUGACGUGUGGCUCGCUUGUUCAGUUUUUGAGAGAACAACUCCUCAAGGACACUUCCAGACUGUUCAGUGAGAGUGAUAUCAUCCCGGUGCUGCAGGAAAUUAAUGUUCUUUUUAUCAUUGAUGGGAUGGACGAGGCAACGCGUCGCGGGCGGGCCGUGGUGAAAGAAAUUAUCACCAAAUUCACAAACAGCACCAUCCUAGUGACGACACGACCAGAAUAUACCCUUGAACUAAAGAAGAUGGCAGAUGAACAUGUCGUUCUUCACAUCGAAGGCUUCACAUCUGAAAGUCAAGAGAAAUUUGUAGAGAAAGUGUUUGCUGUCAAAUACCCAGACAAGAGACUCUGCAAAAAGGAGACUGUCGCGUUCCUGGCCUACAAGAACAGCCUGUGCGUCUCCCUCAGCAGUCACCUGUCCCUGCCCCUCAACCUCGCCCUCCUGAUGAUGCUGUGGUGCGACGAUUACCUCAAGGCCACCUCCGUCACCACCACCACGCGGCUCUACAACAAGAUAUACGAGAUGUCUCAGCAGAAGCUCACGCAGAGACUGGAGAGCAAAGGGUUCGGUCACAGCGCCUCGCUCAACCUGAAGGUGCGCCGCUGCCUCCUCGAGCUGGGCCGCUUUGCCUGGAACAUGAUGCUCGAGGAGACACUGUGUCUGAGUCAAAAACACUCCAACAGCCUGAUGGAGUUUUGUGAAAAGGAAGGCAUUGAUCCGAUUCAGACGUUGUCUACUUUCCUGGACUCGGAGACGACAGAGACACUGAUGGGCACUGUCUGCAGUUUCUCCUUUCAUCACUGCUCCAGCGAGGAAUACCUGGCGGCCUUGUACAUCAGCGAGGAGGCGGCGAAGACUGGCACUCUCUUUCCUCUGCUACAGGACGUCAAGUCACCAAGAUUCCAAGAGGUUGUUAUGUACACGACAGGCCUCCUGAAGCUGAAAAACCUCAUCACGCCUUCCUUAGCCAAAGAAAUUGAGAAAGUCCUUCGCAGUAUUGAAACUCAGCUCAGCGACCCGCUGGUGCUGUAUAGGCUGGUAAAUGAGGUCGAAUGGGACGCUGCUGUCUGCGAAAUCGUCGGUUCCAUUGUCAAGGAGCAGGGCACUUGGUUAAUAAGCUCAAAGGACCCUCUGGAGCUGACGGAGGCAAAGUUUAGCCUCAUAAAUAAUACAUAUACCGCCCCUUCUCAAAUGAAGAUAGACAUUCAGUACCCGAAGAAACUGGAAGACUGCCCGGAACUAGAAAAUCUUAUUAAAUUGCUGGGGAAGAUGAGUACAAAAUCAGUAAAGAUCUCUAUCGAGCGCCACUUUCACACCGUCGGCGAGCAAGAGCUGGUGGACAAGCUCCUCGUCCCAUUCUUGAGGAACGACAGUUUACUAGAAUUUAUGGGCCACGUGGGCCCCGACUUCACGGCAGAGAUGGUACAAGCCAUUAACCUGGAGGCCCUCAGCGUGAGAAUCACGUCCAUGGAGGCUCUGGUAAAUUUGAGCCGCAGCCUCAGGAAGCACAGACAUCGUAAGACCCUCAUCAUGCCCUCAAGGAAGUGGUCUCUCCAGCACUUGGAGGUGUUCUUAGAUAUCAGCGACAAAUCAAUAAAUCCGUCAGACAUUCCACGCUUGCAUUACCGAAAAGGACUGGUGCUCAAGAUGGCGGGGGUGAGGGACGAGGACGCCAAGUGGGCCGGGCAAGUGGUGCAGAGGAUUAAUGAUCAGUACGCCUCCGUCACUCUGGUAUCGUCCCACAUAACCCCAACGGGAAUCGGCCGCUUCGUGAAGGCGACAAGCAAGUUGAGGAUAAAGGUGAUGCGAGUUAUGUCCGAUAAGCUGGACCCGAAUGAGCAAAUCAGCAAGUUCCCCGUCAAACGUGGCACCAAGGUGCAGCUCGGGGCGCUCUGAGGCGAAGAGGCUCCGAGAUGCAUGUUCCGAGACGCUGCCAGUUUGCGAUGUCUCGAUCUCGUGCAGUCACCAACCACACGCUCCAGGAGAGGCUGAUGUUACUCCAGCUCCCCUGCGUUCUGAGGAGCUGAGAGCACACGUUGAUCACACGGAGAAGCUAAACCACCAAUGCUGAAUUACUCCAGAAAGCCACCAACAAAACUGAGAUGAGAUCCUGCAGCACGCCCGUCUGGCCCGG